rnacentral:rRNA from 1 species
AGUGAACGCUGGCGGCGUGCCUAAUACAUGCAAGUCGAACGGAGAUUAAGUAGCUUGCUAUUUACUCUUAGUGGCGCACGGGUGAGUAAUAUAUAGCUAACUUGCCCAUUACUAAGGGACAACAGUUGGAAACGACUGCUAAUACCUUAUACUCCGUAUCUAUAUAAGUAGAUACGGGAAAGUUUUUCGGUAAUGGAUAGGGCUAUAUCGUAUCAGCUAGUUGGUAAGGUAAUGGCUUACCAAGGCUAUGACGCGUAACUGGUCUGAGAGGAUGAUCAGUCACACUGGAACUGAGACACGGUCCAGACUCCUACGGGAGGCAGCAGUAGGGAAUAUUGCUCAAUGGGGGAAACACUGAAGCAGCAACGCCGCGUGGAGGAUGACACUUUUCGGAGCGUAAACUCCUUUUAUUGGGAAAGAAUUAUGACGGUACCCAAGGAAUAAGCACCGGCUAACUCCGUG